GAUGAACGCUGGCGGCGUGCCUAAUACAUGCAAGUCGAGCGAACGGACGAGAAGCUUGCUUCUCUGAUGUUAGCGGCGGACGGGUGAGUAACACGUGGAUAACCUACCUAUAAGACUGGGAUAACUUCGGGAAACCGGAGCUAAUACCGGAUAAUAUUUUGAACCGCAUGGUUCAAAAGUUAAAGACGGUCUUUCUGUCACUUAUAGAUGGAUCCGCGCUGCAUUAGCUAGUUGGUAAGGUAACGGCUUACCAAGGCAACGAUGCAUAGCCGACCUGAGAGGGUGAUCGGCCACACUGGAACUGAGACACGGACCAGACUCCUACGGGAGGCAGCAGUAGGGAAUCUUCCGCAAUGGGCGAAAGCCUGACGGAGCAAAGCCGCGUGAGUGAUGAAGGUCUUCGGAUCGUAAAACUCUGUUAUUAGGGAAGAACAUAUGUGUAAGUAACUGUGCACAUCUUGACGGUACCUAAUCAGAAAGCCACGGCUAACUACGUG
rnacentral:rRNA from 1 species